ensembl:snRNA U2 U2 spliceosomal RNA
UUUGCUUCUUGGCCUUUUGGCUAAGAUCAAGUAUGGUAUCUGUUCUUAUCAGCAUUUCAUUUCUUUAUAAUGAAUAUAUACUAGAUUUGAUAUAUUAAGCAGUGAGAAUUUAGCAUGGCAUUAACAGAUUUUGCUUGUUAAGAGAGCCACA